CGAUGUUGCCGCCUUGCUGGAGCACCUCGCAGACGCAGGCCACUUGCUCUUGGGUGAAGCCAAAAGUCGGGAGCAUCGACAUGUGGUUGAAUCUGAACGGGAGCAGCUGUUCGCCCUAGCCGGAAAGGAGAUGUCAAAACCUGUUGCGUGGAUUUAGAUCUGAGAGUCUUCUUAGCACCCUAAAAUAGCAGGAGGCGCGAAUCGCCUGUUCACGUUUGCUCCAGGUCCGACAGGAUCUUUUCACUUGGCUGCUGCUGGCUGUCUCCAGUUUAGCUACUGCGGAAAGUUUUAUUUGAGGCGAUCCAAAAGGCGAGUUUCAUCCCGGCCCCGACUGCCACUUUACCCAGGGCC